rnacentral:tRNA from 1 species
UCCUCGUUAGUAUAGUGUCAGUAUCCCCGCCUGUCACGCGGGAGACCGGGGUUCAAUUCCCCGACGGGGAG